rnacentral:piRNA from 1 species
UGGAGAAUAAAGAUGGUCUGUAGUCACCG